ACAUGCAUACAACAUAGCAUUAAUGAACUAGAUCCCAUUAUAACUCUACAGUUAAGUGUGCUCAGACUAGAGUAGUAUUGGGAUGGGUCACUGCCCGGGAAGUCCUAGUGUUUUAUAUGCC
rfam:Picea glauca, whole genome shotgun sequence.